UACAGAGGGGGCAAGCGUUGUUCGGAAUUACUGGGCGUAGAGGGCGCGUAGGCGGCCUGUUAAGUCGAACGUGAAAUCCCCGGGCUCAACCCGGGAACUGCGUCCGAUACUGGCAGGUUUGAAUCCGGGAGAGGGAUGCGGAAUUCCAGGUGUAGCGGUGAAAUGCGUAGAUAUCUGGAGGAACACCGGUGGCGAAGGCGGCAUCCUGGACCGGCAUUGACGCUGAGGCGCGAAAGCCAGGGGAGCAAACGGG
rnacentral:rRNA from 1 species